rnacentral:rRNA from 1 species
UACGGGGGGUGCAAGCGUUACUCGGAAUCAUUGGGCGUAAAGGGCGCGCAGGCGGCCAAGUAAGUCAGAUGUGAAAGCCCGGGGCUCGACCCCGGAAGUGCAUUUGAUACUGCUUGGCUUGAGUAUGGGAGAGGGAAGUGGAAUUCCUGGUGUAGAGGUGAAAUUCGUAGAUAUCAGGAGGAACACCGGUGGCGAAGGCGACUUCCUGGACCAAUACUGACGCUGAGGCGCGAAGGCGUGGGGAGCAAACAGG